GUUAAGUAUUCAGAAUAAUCAACUGCAUAUUUAAAGUUCUAUCCAUCUCUCUUCUUUAGAUCUUAAGAGCUAAGGUUUGUUUUCUCUCUCCGUUCGUUGUAUCCUACAGAAUGCCUGCAGCCCUGGUUUGGGCUGUUUGGUUGGUGCUGUACAUCUAGACCUGCCUUUUCCUGGCUUAGCUGUGUCUGGGAGUUAGUCUAAGCUGCAGGGAUGGGUGGGGAGAGGGCUUCACUGCACUCAGGCUGUGGAUGGAACUAGCAGCUUCGGCUGGAAGGCUCGAGGGUGGUUCAGGGCAUGGAUUAUUGGACUCUCUCUCUGCUCCAUGACCAAGUGUCCCCCUUGGCUGCUGACAUUUGCAUGGGUGUGGGGUAGAGGGAGGUUGCUCUUUAACCAUUUCAUGUCCACUGUAGUGUAGGUAACGCUAGCACAUGCUGCAAGUGAGGAUGCCAAACUUGCUAUUUCCCACAACUUCUCUAGGUCUCCAAAUACAACUAAGGAAUAGAAAGGCAUUUCUUUCUGUUCCUUGACAAUGUCUAGCUUAUUCUCAUCUCGGCGUAUCUACUUGCCCUCCCCCACUCACAUUAUUUUAGUCUUUACUCAAAUGUUCCUUCUCAGAGUGACAAUCCCAGCCCACCCCAUCUAGAGAAACCACCUCUCCCGCCAACCAUGCUCUAUCAUUUUACUACUUUAUUAUUAGUAUUUUUUGCAAAGCAUUGAUCUCUACUGUGAACUGUGGUAUGUAUUGGUGUGCUUGUUUCUUGUAACCUGUCUCCUGGAAUGUCCUCUCGGUGAAGGUACAGGCUUUGUCCCAGACGCUAACACCUGACAGAUACACAAGGGGUGCUCCAAAUGAUACUAAACAGGAUUCUUCCUCUGAAAUGGAGGGGCCUAGGAUGGAUAGGGGGAAUCAGUGCUGACUCCUCAGCUGGGGAUGGCCUGGCACCCUCUCACAGGCUUCAUGGUGAUGGUGCCCACAGAACAGACACCUCUCAUUCUCCAAAGAGGACUGAGGACCCAGUCUAGACUUCGUCCAGGGUGUCAUUUAUGUUUACAAUUCCUAAAGGGAAAUGACUAACCCUGUGAUGUCAAAAAGAACUUGAAGCCUGCUCUAGGAGGUGGAGCUAAAAGAAAAACACUGAGUUGCUAGAAAGGAAGGAGGAAAGUCAUUUGGAGAAGGGACAGGAGCUUAAGAAGGCACAGCCCAGGCCCAGGAGGCAGGAUACCUGGGUCCUGCCCUGCCACCUGCCAUCACCAUCUCAGGAAACUUGCAGAGACGCAUCUAACUGCCCUGCCCCUCAAUCUCUGGUACUGCAAAACUGGGACUCAUUGUUCAGAGGCGAGCUCCUCCUAUCAAGAGGUGGGGUUUAUUUUCCCAUUGCUGAAUAUGGGUUGACCUUGCGAGUGGUGUUGACCAGAAGAAUGCAGUGGAGGUGACAUCAUGCAAGUAGACCUUAAGAGACAGUGCAACUUUCACUGGGGCCGUCCUGAAGCACUGCCCAGAAACCUCAGAUCAGGAAAUUGGUCUAGCCUUCUGGAAGACAAGAGUCCCCAGGGAGGAGCAUCAGGGUUUCCAGUCAAGUGUCCCAGCACAGCUGCUAGACAUGCGCCUGAGGCCAUCUUGGGACCUUCCAGCUGAGACAAGCAGAAAAUCACACAGCCAACUUAACAAAAUGUAAAUCAAUUCUGGUUGAUUUAAGUCGUCAAGUUUUGUGGGGAGGUUGUGUUAUAUAGUAAAGCCCACUUGAAAUAGCCCUCAAUAUAGACUGGUUGAAUUGAAUAACUGUAGAAGUGAAAAUCCCUCGAAAAAUACAGCACAUGCUUUUAAGCACAAGCUGCUAUUAUUAUUCAUACUGACUAGUUAGAAUAAGAAUACAAUAAGAGGUAACAAUGUAACAAUCGUGGUUGUUUGAUGACUUCUUAUUUCCUGUCCCUUGGGAGAAGACCACAGUCAGUUGGAACAGCCUUUGACAGGCUCAAAUAAGCAGCAACCUUCUUUGCACACAAACAUUUUAAAUCUCUCUGUCUUUUCCUGUCUGUAAUAGCUCUGCAUCGCCUCACUGGGCCACCUGGGAUGGUGCCACAACUCCUAUUAAUAUUGCCAUACGUGGCAGCAUUGCACUCAAGUCCCACGCUCUCAGCUGCCUGUGUGUGGCACAGAGCCUAUUUUUAGAGUUUUACAUCUAUAAUUAUGUAUGUUUCACUGCCUCUCAAAUGCAUAUUUGCUCUGGGGAGAGGUUAUGCUUAUGUAAUCUCAGCUAUUUUUGAUAGGACAAAAUGUGUUAUACAAACCUGCUAAGUCUCAUUCAACCAGAGCAAACAGUCCAACAGUCUCUUCCUCACUCAAACUCCCAUGUAAGCAGGGAUGAUACUUGAGACAUUUUGAGUACUGGUAAAACAUUGUCACUGACAAAUCAGAACAGAACCAGCCAUUACAUCACAUUGGUGUUUACAGCUCUGUUCUUAAGGGCCAGUUCAG
rnacentral:lncRNA from 1 species